UUAUACGGCGAAACUGCGAAUGGCUCAUUAUAUAAGUUAUCGUUUAUUUGAUAGCACCUUACUACUUGGAUAACCGUGGUAAUUCUAGAGCUAAUACAUGCUAAAAAUCCCGACUUCGGAAGGGAUGUAUUUAUUAGAUUAAAAACCAAUGCCCUCUGGGCUCUCUGGUGAUUCAUGAUAACUUCUCGAAUCGCAUGGCCUUGCGCCGGCGAUGGUUCAUUCAAAUUUCUUCCCUAUCAACUUUCGAUGUUUGGGUAGUGGCCAAACAUGGUUGCAACGGGUAACGGAGGGUUAGGGCUCGACCCCGGAGAAGGAGCCUGAGAAACGGCUACUACAUCCAAGGAAGGCAGCAGGCGCGCAAAUUACCCAAUCCCGACACGGGGAGGUAGUGACAAUAAAUACUGAUACAGGGCUCUUUUGGGUCUUGUAAUUGGAAUGAGUACAAUUUAAAUCCCUUAACGAGGAACAAUUGGAGGGCAAGUCUGGUGCCAGCAGCCGCGGUAAUUCCAGCUCCAAUAGCGUAUAUUAAAGUUGUUGUGGUUAAAAAGCUCGUAGUUGAACCUUGGGCCUGGCUGGCCGGUCCGCCUCACCGCGUGCACUGGUCCGGCCGGGCCUUUCCCUCUGUGGAACCCCAUGCCCUUCACUGGGUGUGGCGGGGAAACAGGACUUUUACUUUGAAAAAAUUAGAGUGCUCCAGGCAGGCCUAUGCUCGAAUACAUUAGCAUGGAAUAAUGAAAUAGGACGUGCGGUUCUAUUUUGUUGGUUUCUAGGACCGCCGUAAUGAUUAAUAGGGACAGUCGGGGGCAUCAGUAUUCAAUUGUCAGAGGUGAAAUUCUUGGAUUUAUUGAAGACUAACUACUGCGAAAGCAUUUGCCAAGGAUGUUUUCAUUAAUCAGGAACGAAAGUUAGGGGAUCGAAGACGAUCAGAUACCGUCGUAGUCUUAACCAUAAACUAUGCCGACUAGGGAUCGGACGAUGUUAUUUUUUGACUCGUUCGGCACCUUACGAGAAAU
rnacentral:rRNA from 1 species